AGCUGGACUGAGAGGUUGAACAGCCACAUUGGGACUGAGACACGGCCCAAACUCCUACGGGAGGCAGCAGUAGGGAAUUUUCGGCAAUGGAGGAAACUCUGACCGAGCAACGCCGCGUGAACGAUGAAGUAUUUCGGUAUGUAAAGUUCUUUUAUUGAAGAAGAAAAAAUAGUGGAAAAACUAUCUUGACGAUAUUCAAUGAAUAAGCCCCGGCAAACUAUGUGCCAGCAGCCGCGGUAAUACAUAGGGGGCGAGCGUUAUCCGGAAUUAUUGGGCGUAAAGGGUGCGUAGGCGGUUUGGUAAGUCUAUAGUUUAAUUUCAGUGCUUAACACUGUUCUGCUAUAGAAACUAUCAGACUAGAGUGAGAUAGAGGCAAGUGGAAUUCCAUGUGUAGCGGUAAAAUGCGUAAAUAUAUGGAGGAACACCAGAGGCGUAGGCGGCUUGCUGGGUCUUUACUGACGCUGAGGCACGAAAGCGUGGGGAGCAAACAGGAUUAGAUACCCUGGUAGUCCACGCCGUAAACGAUGAGUACUAAGUGUCGGGGAAACUCGGUACUGAAGUUAACACAUUAAGUACUCCGCCUGAGUAGUACGUACGCAAGUAUGAAACUUAAAGGAAUUGACGGGACUCCGCACAAGCGGUGGAUCAUGUUGUUUAAUUCGAAGAUACACGAAAAACCUUACCAGGUCUUGACAUACUCUGCAAAGCUAUAGCAAUAUAGUGGAGGUUAUCAGGGAUACAGGUGGUGCAUGGUUGUCGUCAGCUCGUGUCGUGAGAUGUUAGGUUAAGUCCUAAAACGAGCGCAACCCUUGUCACUAGUUGCCAGCAUGUUAUGAUGGGCACUUUAGUGAGACUGCCAAUGAAAAAUUGGAGGAAGGUGAGGAUCACGUCAAAUCAUCAUGCCCCUUAUGAUCUGGGCUACAAACGUGAUACAAUGGCUGUUACAAAGAGUAGCUAAAACGCGAGUUUAUAGCCAAUCUCAUAAAAGCAGUCUCAGUUCGGAUUGAAGUCUGCAACUCGACUUCAUGAAGUUGGAAUCGCUAGUAAUCGCGAAUCAGCA
rnacentral:rRNA from 1 species